rnacentral:rRNA from 1 species
AUGGCGAGCGUGAUGACAACGGCGGGCGCGGUGUGGCACGUGCGUGGGCAUGGAGAGCCAGAGAGGGAGUGGCCCCGCGGGCGCGGAAGAAGAGCUGAAGGCUCGGGCAUGGGCGCGCAUAGGAGCGGGCAUGUGCCACGGGGUAAAUCCGAGGAGCUCAGUGGCUACCCCUGCAAUGGCCAUGACGGAUGGCGGUUCUCGGCCACGGCGAAAUACCUAACAAGAGCAAACGAGAGGGGAAACUGGGGAAAGGCAAGAGGAGAUCAUGGCGGUGUCAAUGGCACCCUAGGGGAAGACAGGGGAGCUCGGGGCGGUGCGGAUUGA